GACGUUGGAGGUUUGUGCUGUACUAGUAGUUUCUGGUGUGUGACUAGACGUUGGAGGUUUGUGCUGUACUAGUAGUUUCUGGUGUGUGGCUAGACGUUGGAGUUUUGUGCUGUACUAGUAGUUUCUGGUUGUGUGACUAGACGGAGGUUUGUGCUGUACUAGUGGUUUCUGGUGUGUGGCUAGACGUUGGAGGUUUGUGCUUUGUACUAGUAGUUUCUGGUUGUGUGACUAGACGGAGGUUUGUGCUUGUACUAGUAGUUCUGUGUGUGAUUAGAUAACUGUCUGUAACAUGCAGGGAACAACCAGUACAACUGUAACUAUUGGAGUAUUUCAGACUGACACACGGGGUGCUACAGUUUAAACAGUACACUUUCAGGGCUGGGCCACUGACAUGUGUUCCAAAAUAAGGCAAGGAAUUAUGGAACUCAGAGUGCGUAGUGUUGCCCGAGGAGGGGGGAGAUUCAGAGUGCAUAGUGUUUGCCCGAGGAGGGGGAGAUUCAGAGUGCGUAGUGUUGCCCGAGGAGGGGGAGAUUCAGAGUGCCAUAGUGUUGCCCGAGGAGGGGGAGAUUCAGAGUGCAUAGUGUUGCGCCGAGGAGGGGGAGAUUCAGAGUGCAUCAUCGUGUUGCCCGAGGAGGGGAGAUUUCAGAAAGAAUGCCUAGUUGUUGCCCGCGGGAGGGGGGGAUUCAGAGUGGCAUUGUGUUGCCUGCCGAGGGGGGGAUUCAGAUUGCGUAGUGUUGCCUGAGGAAGUUAGUGAACUAUACAGGGAAUAGGGUUUUGGAUCUGGUCAACUAAAAGUAGGCACUAUACAGGGGAUGAGGGUUUUGGAUUUCGGUCAAAAGUCUAGUGCACAUACAGGGAAUAGGGUUUUGGAUUCUGGUCAAAAGUAGUGCACUAUAAAAAGGGAAUAGGGUUUUGGAUUCUGGUCAAAAGUAGUGCACUAUACAGGGAAUGGGGUUUUGGAUGUCUGGUCAAAGUAGUGCACUAUACAGAGGGAAUGGGGUUUUGGUUUUGGAUUCUGGUCAAAAGUAUAGUGACACUAUAUAGGGCAUAGGGUUUGGAUUCUGGUCAAAAGUAGUGCACUAUACAGGGAAUAGGGUUUUGGAUUUCUGGUCAAAAGUAGUGCACUAUUACCGGAAAUUAGGGUUUUGGAUUCUGGUCUCAAAAGUAGUGCACUAUACAGGAACAGGGUUUUGAUUUCUGGUCAAAAGUAGUGCACUAUACAGGGAACAGGGUUUUGGAUUCUGGGUCAAAAUAGUGCACUAUUACAGGGAAUAGGGUUUUGGAUUCUGGUCCAAAGUAGUGCACUAUACAGGGAACAAUAGGGUUUUUGGAUUCUGGUGUUCAAAAAAAGUUAGUGCACUAUACAGGGAACAGGGGGUUUUGGAUUCUGGUCAAAA
ensembl:lncRNA